GCCGGGCAUGGUAGCGCAUGCCUGUAGUCCUAGCUACUCGGGAGGCUGAGGCAGGAGGAUCACUUGAGCCCAGGAGUUUGAGGUUGCUGUGAGCUAGGCUGAUGCCACGGCACUCACUCUAGCCUGGGCAACAGAGUGAGAAACUGUCUCUAUGAAAAAUUUAAAAAUUAGCUGGGCGUGGUGUUGGGCACCCUUAGUCCCAGCUGCUUGGGAGACAGAGGCAGAGGAUCGCUCAGGCCCAAGAGUUCCAGGUUGCAGUGAGCUGUGAUCCUGCCACUGCACUCCAGCCUGGGCAACAGAGCAAGAUUCUGUCUCU
rnacentral:sRNA from 1 species